CCUACGGGAGGCAGCAGUGGGGAAUAUUGCACAAUGGGGGAAACCCUGAUGCAGCAACGCCGCGUGAGUGAAGACGUAUUUCGGUAUGUAAAGCUCUAUCAGCAGGGAAGUAGAUGACGGUACCUGAGUAAGAAGCCCCGGCUAACUACGUGCCAGCAGCCGCGGUAAUACGUAGGGGGCAAGCGUUAUCCGGCUUUACUGGGUGUCAAGGGAGCGUAGACGGUGCGACAAUUCUGAUGUGAAAGCCCGGGGCUCAACCCCGGGAUUGCAUUUGAAACUGCCUGACUGGAGUGCUGGAGGGGCUAGCGGAAUUCCUAGUGUAGCGGUGAAAUGCUUAGAUAUUAGGAAGAACACCAGUGGCGAAGGCAGCUUGCUGGAGAGUAACUGACGUUGAGGCUCGAAAGCGUGGGGAGCAAACAGGAUUAGAUACCCCAGUAGUC
rnacentral:rRNA from 1 species